GACGAACCGUCCAAACGUUAUUCGGAAUCACUGGGCUUACAGAGUUCGUAGGCGGUCUGGAAAGUUGGGUGUGAAAUCCCUCGGCCUAACCGAGGAACUGCGCUUGAAACUACCAGACUCGAGGGGGAUAGAGGAAAGCGGAACUGAUGGUGGAGCGGUGAAAUGCGUUGAUAUCAGGAAGAACACCCGUGGCGAAGGCGGCUCUCUGGGACGGUACUGACGCUGAGACGCGAAAGCGUGGGGAGCGAACAGG
rnacentral:rRNA from 1 species